rnacentral:rRNA from 1 species
CAGGCCUAACACAUGCAAGUCGAACGGCAGCACGGGAGCAAUCCUGGUGGCGAGUGGCGAACGGGUGAGUAAUACAUCGGAACGUGCCCAGUUGUGGGGGAUAGCCCGGCGAAAGCCGGAUUAAUACCGCAUACGACCUGAGGGUGAAAGCGGGGGAUCGCAAGACCUCGCGCGAUUGGAGCGGCCGAUGUCAGAUUAGCUAGUUGGUGGGGUAAAGGCCUACCAAGGCGACGAUCUGUAGCUGGUCUGAGAGGACGACCAGCCACACUGGGACUGAGACACGGCCCAGACUCCUACGGGAGGCAGCAGUGGGGAAUUUUGGACAAUGGGCGCAAGCCUGAUCCAGCAAUGCCGCGUGCGGGAAGAAGGCCUUCGGGUUGUAAACCGCUUUUGUCAGGGAAGAAACGCUCUGGGUUAAUACCCCUGGGGUAAUGACGGUACCUGAAGAAUAAGCACCGGCUAACUACGUGCCAGCAGCCGCGGUAAU